UACGGAGGGUGCAAGCGUUAUCCGGAUUCACUGGGUUUAAAGGGUGCGUAGGUGGGCAGGUAAGUCAGUGGUGAAAUCUCCGGGCUUAACUCGGAAACUGCCAUUGAUACUAUCUGUCUUGAAUACCGUGGAGGUUAGCGGAAUAUGUCAUGUAGCGGUGAAAUGCUUAGAUAUGACACAGAACACCAAUUGCGAAGGCAGCUGGCUACACGAAUAUUGACACUGAUGCACGAAAGCGUGGGGAUCAAACAGG
rnacentral:rRNA from 1 species